ensembl:lncRNA
AUUUAAAGCUAUGUUGUUUGGCAGCACUACUUGCUUACUUUUCCAGAAUGACAAGAUUUGAACCAAUGACUUGCCUUAAGAAAGGUGAAAGGCAAUGGCACCCCACUCCAGUACUUUGCCUGGAAAAUCCCAUGGAUGGAGGAGCCUGCUUCAUUCAUAACCGUCAAUAAUGAAAGGGCAGAAGGAGGAACUGACAAGGACUAAGUACAGCACUGGAGGGCCCUGCUGUUCUAGGCUGUUGAUGGAGUUGGAUACCAAAACCCUACUCUCAUUUUGCUACCAAAAGGAAUUAUGUUGUGUCCUCACCUUUAAAUGCACUGUUCUGGAAGUUCUGCAGCAGGAAUGCCUUGGUUUAGAUGUUGACAGGAGCCCAGCGAUUUACUUCACAUCCAUUUGGGUACUUUUCGAGGCAGAUAGGUGCAGAGCCAAAAAACACCACCUAGGGACUUCCCUGGUGCUUCAGCGGUUGCUGAAGCUUAAGCUCGAAUAAUUUAGCCACCUGCUGUGAAGAGUGGACUCACUGGAAAAGACUCUGAGGCUAGGAAAGAUUGAGGGCAAAAGGAGAAGAGAGCGGCAAAGUGUGAGAUGGUUAGAUAGCAACACCAACUCAGUGGACAUGAACUUGAGCAAACUCCAGGGCACAGUGGAGGACAGAGAAGCCUGGUGUGCUGCAGUCCAUGGGUCGCAAAGAGUCGGACACGACUGAGCGACUAUAAACAACAACAACCAGUGGUUAAGACUCCGCCUUGCAAUGCAGAGGACUUUGGUUCAAUCCCUGGUCUGGGAACUAAGAUUCCACACGCUACAGAGUAACUAAACCAACACGCCACACUACUAAGCCCUGAAGCCACAGAGAGUCCAUGCACCACAGUGGAAGAUCCUGCAUGAUGCGACAAAGAGCCCGCGUGCCACAACGAAGACGGGAUGCAACUGAAUACUUUUUUUCUUUUUUUUCUUAAUUAAUUUCUUUUUUAACUGAAGGAUAAUUGUUUUACAGACUUUUGUUGUUUUCUGUCAAACAUCAAAAUGAAUCGGCCAUAGGCAUACAUAUGUCC